GCUCACUGUGCCCUCACCACAAUCCACCCAGUCCUAUUGAUGGGCAUGAAGUGAAGUUCAGAGAAUGAGAAUACUCAUGAUCAAAUCGUCUGCAGGCUUGCUAUAAGAACUACGUGAGUUAUCACUGCACGUGAUGUGCUUAGAACCGAACACGCAUAGCAACACCAUGGAAACAUCAGAUGCAAGCCAGGGAUCAUGUUAAGCUCUGGCCAAGCUGCAAGCAGGGGACGUCUCAGUUCUCCCUUCCAGAGCUCUCGUUUUAACAAGGGACAGCUGAUAACUAUAUGGCAGAUUUGUCCCCCAGACAUCUUCUUGAUGUCUGCCAUACACAGGAAAUGUGUAGAAGUCAUGAUGACCAACGCUCAGACCAAGAUCACCCGAGAAGCAAGGCUCCACCCCAGAUGGUGGGCACUAUUCCACAUCAAAAGUUGUUGGUCAGUUUUCCCUGUUUGUAACCUUCUUAAGGAUGGAACUGUA